UACGUAGGGUGCGAGCGUUGUCCGGAAUUAUUGGGCGUAAAGAGCUCGUAGGUGGUUUGUCGCGUUGUUCGUGAAAACUCACAGCUUAACUGUGGGCGUGCGGGCGAUACGGGCAGACUAGAGUGUGGUAGGGGGAGAUCGGAAUUCCUGGUGUAGCGGUGAAAUGCGCAGAUAUCAGGAAGAACACCAGUGGCGAAGGCGGCUCACUGGCCCGGUACUGACGCUGAGGUGCGAAAGCGUGGGGAGCAAACAGG
rnacentral:rRNA from 1 species